rnacentral:rRNA from 1 species
GUUCGAUUAUGGCUCAGAUUGAACGCUGGCGGGAUGCUUUACACAUGCAAGUCGAACGGCAGCACAGACUUCGGUCUGGUGGCGAGUGGCGAACGGGUGAGUAAUGUAUCGGAACGUGCCUAGUAGCGGGGGAUAACUACGCAGAAAGCGUAGCUAAUGCCGCAUACGCCCUUCGGGGGAAAGCGGGGGACCUUCGGGCCUCGCACUAUUAGAGCAGCCGAUAUCGGAUUAGCUAGUUGGUGGGGUAACGGCUCACCAGGCGAUCCGUUAGCUGGUUUGAAGGACGACCAGCCACACUGGGACUGAGACACGGCCCAGACUCCUACGGGGAGAGGCAGCAGUGGGGAAUUUUGGACAAUGGGGAAACCUGAUCCAGCCAUCCCGCGUGUGCGAUGAAGGCCUUCGGGUUGUAAAGCACUUUUGGCAGGAAAGAAACGGCGCGGGAUAAUACCCCGUGCGCUGACGGUACCUGCAGAAUAAGCACCGGCUAACUACGUGCCAGCAGCCGCGGUAAUCGUAGGGUGCAAGCGUUAAUCGGAAUUACUGGGCGUAAAGCGUGCGCAGGCGGUUCGGGAAAGAAGAUGUGAAAUCCCAGAGCUUAACUUUGAGUCACUGCAUUUUUAACUACCGAGCUAGAGUGUGUCAGAGGGAGGUGGAAUUCCGCGUGUAGCAGUGAAAUGCGUAGAUAUGCGGAGGAACACAGGCGCGAGGCAGCCUCCUGGGAUAACACUGACGCUCAUGCACGAAAGCGUGGGGAGCAAACAGGAUUAGAUACCCUGGUAGUCCACGCCCUAAACAAAUGUCAACUAGCUGUUGGGGCCUUCGGGCCUUGGUAGCGCAACUAACGCGUGAAGUUGACCGCCUGGGGAAGAUACAGUCGCAAGAUUAAAACUCAAAGGAAUUGACGGGGACCCGCACAAGCGGUGGAUGAUGUGGAUUAAUUCGAUGCUUGCAGAAAAACGCCACCUACCCUUGACAUGUCUGGAAUCCCGAAGAGAUUUGGAGUGCUCGCAAGAGAACCGGAACACAGGUGCUGCAUGGCUGUCGUCAGCUCGUGUCCGUGAGAUAUUGGGUUAGUCCCGCAACGAGCGCAACCCUUGUCAUUAGUUGCUACGAAGGGCACUCUAAUGAGACUGCCGGUGACAAACCGGAGGAAGGUGGGGAUGACGUCAGAUCCUCAUAGCCCUUAUGGGUAGGGCUUCACGUCUUCGUGGUGAUCAGAACAGAGAGGUCGUAACCCACGAGAGACUUGUCAGAAACCCGAUCGUAGUCCGGAUGCAGUCUGCAACUCGACUGCUGAAGUCGGAAUCGCUAGUAAUCGCGGAUCAGCAUGUCGCUGAUGAUACGUUCCCGGGUCUUGUACACACCGCCCGUCACACCAUGGAGUGGUUUUACAGUGAUUGCAACUAACUGUGGAGGCGUUACCAGUACAGUUCAUGACUGAGGUGAAGUCAUGUCAGGUAG